rnacentral:rRNA from 1 species
GAGUUUGAUCAUGGCUCAGAUUGAACGCUGGCGGAAUGCUUUACACAUGCAAGUCGAACGGCAGCACGGGUGCUUGCACCUGGUGGCGAGUGGCGAACGGGUGAGUAAUACAUAGGAACAUACCCAGUAAUGGGGGAUAACGCCGAGAAAUCGGUGCUAAUACCGCAUACGCCCUACGGGGGAAAGCGGGGGAUCUUCGGACCUCGCGUUAUUGGAUUGGCCUAUGUCUGAUUAGCUAGUUGGUGAGGUAAAGGCUCACCAAGGCUUCGAUCAGUAGCUGGUCUGAGAGGAUGAUCAGCCACACUGGAACUGAGACACGGUCCAGACUCCUACGGGAGGCAGCAGUGGGGAAUUUUGGACAAUGGGCGAAAGCCUGAUCCAGCCAUUCCGCGUGAGUGAAGAAGGCCUUCGGGUUGUAAAGCUCUUUCGGCAGGAACGAAAUGGUCACGGUUAAUAACUGUGACUUCUGACGGUACCUGAAGAAGAAGCACCGGCUAACUACGUGCCAGCAGCCGCGGUAAUACGUAGGGUGCGAGCGUUAAUCGGAAUUACUGGGCGUAAAGCGUGCGCAGGCGGUUUUGUAAGUCAGAUGUGAAAGCCCCGGGCUUAACCUGGGAAUGGCGUUUGAAACUACAAGGCUAGAGUGUGUC